GUUGUAUCAGUGGAAGCCAAUGAAAAUUGAGGCCAGGAAAUAUAGUGAACCUUCAGCUCAACUACUUCUCUAACCAUGGGGUCUCAGCAUGUAGUGAGUAGCUGGUGUCGUGGUUCAGCAGGAUGUCAGUGGCUUGGGACUGUCCUGCAUGACUUUUGCUUCUGCUGUGUUAUCCAGCCUCAAUUCUGCCUACUUCUUAUCCUGCGUGUUUUGGAGCUGGAAUCUGUCAUCACUGGCCUCUGCUUGGUGUUUCCUUCAGGACUAAGGCUUCUAAGAUGCCAGGUGUUUUCCUCUGGGUGCUCUGGGUGCGUCCGUUUGGAUAGAACUGAAUUUCUCAGCACAUCUCCUGCUGAAGCCAUUUGAGAUCCUGGAAGCAAGAUGUUCCUCUCGCCAUGUCGUUGAAGGGCUGCCAUACCCAAAGCACAUUCACUGCACUGGAUGCUGCACAAAUCAUAGUAGUCACAAUGGCUUUCACUGAUUUAAUUGAACAAGAGUAUGACAUUUUGAUUGAUACAGCAUUUAUGGCAACAAAUUAAUAUAAACCAGGACUGUGAAAAUAAAAGAGGAUCUUCUGGGAGAGGGUUGUCCUGAACUGUGGCCUACACCCCUAUAUUGUAAUGAAAAAUGGCUAAAAAUGCACAAAUAAUUCAGGGAACAAGGCUGUUACCCAGACAACUGUCUCUCAAAUGAAUACUGUCUUCACUGAGUGCCAUGCUCAUGCUCUUUGUUGCUUUCUUUAUCUCAUUCUUUGAUAAGCAAUAGCACAGCCAGCUACUACAGGAGGGAUGGAAAAAAUGUCGUUGUAGGCUUUAUUAGCAAGCAAACAGAUUUCACGAGCAGAUUCUGACUCAGUCUGCUCGAUCAGUGCUGGUCUGUACGCUUACCAUUUUCUGGCUCUUUUAGCUCAGGAACUUCUGUGCUGCUCUCCAGUCUCUUGUCUCUGGCUGCUGCCCCAAUUCACAUGUCUAUGAAUGCUCAGACAGAGCAGAAUUGUCCUUACCUUUGACACCUUCAGAGUUUAGAUGUCUCUACAACAGGCACUGUCACAAAGCUGUCACUGUGAAUUCACUGCGGGAAGUACCGUUUUCUGUAUACUUGUUCAUGAUACGUAUCAAUAUAGCACAUUAGGAAGAUCCUUGCUCUGAGCAGGUCCUGGUUUGCAGAACAAGGGGCUGAAUACACAAAAUAUAAGAGGUGGAAAGAGUGAAGGGGUAGAAAUCGACGUGUCAGAGUUGUGGCAAUGGAAACGGGAGACUGUGGUUGUUAUAAACAGACCUGUCUGCUUCAUUAAUUCUGCUUGGCACUAAAGAUUAUUUCGGAGAUGAUGAGCUCACAGGAGCUUUGAUGGCUAAAUAAUGAUUUGAAAGAUAAAUUAUUAAAGAAAAUAAAUAAGUAAAUGUAAAGACUGAGUGAAUUUUUGGCAGAGGGCAAGGAAAUGGUUUGUUUCUCAUUUCCAGGUCACCAAUUCAGUCUGGCUGGAGAGUGAUGGCUUUGUAGUUACUUCUGUAAGUGAAAUGGGCAAAUCUUUCUCACAGCUGCUUCCUAACUCUUCCUCAUCCUCAAACACAUUGGUGUCUCUACCUUCCUUCCCUCUGUAAACUGCUGAAUCCUAAUUUCCUGUUUAAAACAAUUGCUCAGGGAGUGCUGGGACCUUUCCUCUUCCCAGACAGAGCUGUCAUUCAGAUGGCUUUCACAAUGAGUUGAGCCAGGAAACUUGGAGUUGUUCAGAUGGCUUUCACAAUGAGUUGAGCCAGGAAGGCAGACAAGAGCUGAAAGUUAAAUGUUUAAUUUUAUUUAUAUAUUUAUGUACUUAUUACUUUAGGUCCAGUAAACCACAUCUGAAAGUCUUUUGGACAUAUCUCCUUGUUUUCUACGCAUGGGAUAAGGUUAAUUCCCUGCAGAUAAAGUCAAACUCUAUGUGCUCACUCUUCAGACAAAGACUGUAAAAAGUUCACUGUCAAUGUAAAGGGGACUGAAUCCAUCCUCUCCUUUGACAGCAGAAGUAAUGUAGCAGACUCAUUUUCAUAUCUCAUUCAGAAGGCAGAUGAGAUG
rnacentral:lncRNA from 1 species